GGGGGAGAGAGGGCUGGUGUUUGAGAGUUAUUUUACACUGUGCUUCCCCAGCUCUGCAACAACAUCAAGCCACGGCAUGAAUAAUGCAGGCUGUUUUGUUUUGUGCUAUGAAUUCAUUGACGGCAUGAUGGGAUGAAGUGCACAUUUAAAUAUAUUGAUUUGAUUCUUUUUUGAUUUGUUAGUGUGGAAAUAACUGCGAGGCAGGGCCAGGCGAGGGAGAACCCCUAUUGAUAUAUGAGCUCCUUAAAUUGAAAUGUAAUUGAGAGAAAGGCCAUGCACCAACAGUCCAUGGGGAGGAGAGAGAGCGAGAGACGCAGUGUAAGUAUCUCACCAGAGCAGGUAAAAACAAAAGAGAGACAUAAUGAAUCUAAGACCCUUUUAUAACCAUUUGACCAAAAUCCGAGUUGUAACCAAUAGCAUUACUGUUGAGUUAAAUUCCAAUCAGAUAUCAGACCUACAGGAUGGAAAGACAACAGCAUCACUUGCUUCACAGGUAUGUGACAAGGAAGGGUUGGUGAGAUAAUGCAGCAUUCCUAAGACAACAAAGGAACCCUUGCAUACAGUGUUGAUAAGAGAGAGGUCGGGGGUUGGGCCGGCCUACAUAUAUGCAUUUACUGUGUAUCAAUAGACUGUAUUUACCAGUUUCCCCCUUUUGUCUUCUGUAUCACUAUUGUUUUUACGGCGGGAGGAAUGCUUACAAAUUUACUACCAUGGUAUCCCCUUCAUCCUUGUUAUUGUAGGCCUCUGGGCGUUUUACAAACACUACAUGCACACUCAGCAAAUUUUGCACAUUUUCUUAUUCAUACCCUUUUGUCCAAUUAAUCUUGAUUAAUCUUUAUUGAGGCGUUAGAGAAUGGACGGAAAUAAAAAAAGCCCUUUGUCUUCUAAUAUGCUGUUGGCCCCAGCCAGUGUGUUAUUAGACUGAACUCAGCUAAAUGUACUUCCUUCACUUUGGGUAUUCCUCAUUGCUCUCCUGGCGUAUCUUCAGCACUUUCAUUAUGUGACAAACACAUUUUUGCUACAAUAUGCCAGGUUAUUUAAUGGAACCAUUGUGGCUGAGCUGGUA
ensembl:lncRNA